AUGAGAUCGUCGUCGGGCUCUGAGCCGCCGCCGUCCGUUGUCUCCCUCGGCGACUUCGUCGGCCCGGCCUCCCGCCACAUCGUCUCCCUCGGCGGCAUGAGAUGUGGUGAAUGGCGCAGAGGAUGGGGGACAAGUGCGGGGACAUCCCGCGUGGGACGCAAUUCCUGCUCGUGGAGUCCAAGGCCGGCGCCGGCGAGGAGGAGGUGUCGUACGUCGUGUUCCUCCCGCUCGUGGAGGGCGUGUUCCGGGCCAGCCUCCAGGGCGGCGGUGCGGGCGGCGAUAAGUUCCAGCUCUGCGUUGAGAGUGGAGACGCUGGCACGCUCGCCAGUUCCUUCUACCGCGUCCUCUUCGUGGGCGCCGCGGAGUCUGACCCUUUCGCCGCCAUCGCCGGCACCGUCGCGGCGGUCUGCCUCGGGAACCUUCCGCCCGCGCGCGAGAAGAAGCUCCCUGCGAUCGUUGACUCCUUCAGGUGGUGGACAUGGGCAGUCGGCCUUCUACCAGGACAUCACCACUCAGGAGGCAUCGAGGCCGGCCUCCAGAGCAUCACCGCCGGCGGAACGCGCACCGCCCAAGUUCGCCAUCACCGACGAUGCCUGGAAGUCGGUCGGAACCAAGAAACAAAGCUCCGGCGCGGACUUCCCUAGCGAGGCCGGCAAGCCGCCACCCCUUCCCCGGCUCACUGGCAACAAGGAGAACAGUAAUUUCUAG
rnacentral:rRNA from 1 species